UUUCCUUUUCUUCUUUCUUUCUCUCUUUCUUUCUUCCUUCCUUCCUCCCUUCCUUCCUUCCUUCCUUCCUUCCUUUCUUUCUUUUUUUGUACGCUUCCUUCUUGCCCGCCCACUUGGAUCUACCGUGCUUGUUCAGGCCGACACUGAGAAGAACUUUCUUCCACCCUCAGCCCUUCAGUCUGUUUACCCAUCUACAAAGUAUUGAGGUCAAAGGGGUGGAUUCUGAGCCGGGUGCGAGAGGGAGGACCUGGCUGAGUGACAUACCUGAGAACAAUACCUCAAGUACCCCAACUGGAAUGUAAGUAAUUAUAGCAGGUCCUGCCUGCCCCCAGGGCCUUUGCACAUACAGUUCAGGUUCUGAAAACAUAUUACUGCCCUCUGCUCCCACACAACCCUUAUUACUACAAUACAGCUUCCAUAAAAGGAUAAGGAUUCAGGUGCCAAAUUUAUCAAAUAAACACAAUCUUGAGGCACUCACUGCAUAUAAAGGUGUUGCCACAAGUUGUACACCAAUGCGGACAAGCGUCACCUCGCACACACAGAUAAAUGGAAUAAAAGAGUCCCGCUAAAGGGCACGACUGGUGUGACUCAAUCAGUAGAUCGCUGGCCCAGCACGGAGCUACCAGCCCUGCACUCAAGAGGCAGAAAGAUCGGGAUUUCAAAGGCAUCCUCAGAGGCCACAUAGCAAGUUCAUGAUCACCCCGGGCUUCCAAGACACUGUGUCAAAAAAGGGUGGGCCAAGCUGUUGAGAUGUCCCCGCGGUUAAUAACACUUGUAGCUCUUCUCGAGGACCAGGGUUCGGUUCCUGCACCUACACUUGCCAGUAACUCCAGAGCCAGGGGAUGCUAAAUAUGCCCGACACCAAAGCUUACACAUCGUUAAAUAACAAAUAGGCCUCAAAAAAUAAAGCCACUGAUUAAAUGAAUUUCAGAUAUACUGGUAUGUUCUGACAACUACACAAAGAAAUGUUGUUUGUCUGAAACUUUUAUGUUCUGGGUGAUCCUAGGUGGGAAGGGAGGCUGUCAAAAGUCCAGCUUGCUGGGAAAUGCUCAACCACAAAGCUAAGCCUGAUACCAGAUUUUUAAAGAAUGUUUGUUUGUUGUGGGCAGGAGCGCUUUGGCGAGUGUAUGGAGGUGAGAGGACGGACACCUGUGGAAACUGAUUCUUUCCACCAUGUGGGUCCAGGGGAUUGAACUCAGGUCGUCAGACUUAGAAGCAAGCACCAAAACCCACAGCCCUGAUCUCCCAUGUUUUCCCACUUCAGAGUGGCCCACCCUGAAGUCCUGUGAGCACUUAGUAGGUAAUGAGCACUUGCUCUAAACGUGUUAAGAUGGAACCACGGGGGCCGGGCACUGGUGGCGCACGCUUUUAAUCCCAGCACUUGGGAGGCAGAGGCAGGCGGAUUUCUGAGUUCCAGGCCAGCCUGGUCUACAGAGUGAGUUCCAGGACAGCCAGGGCUACACAGAGAAACCCUGUCUCGAAAAAAACAAAACAAAAACAAACACACAAACAAACAAAAAAGAUGGGACCACAGGAGAUGGACAACGUCACUGUCCCUGUUUCACAGACUGAAAGUAGGGCAGAUGGGAACCUGAGGGCUUUGAGACUAUACUGUACCCGGCAGCACUAACUAAAGAGCGCCCGCCCGCACAAGUCGAGAACCAGAGAAUUGGCAGUGCGAGGGCGCUCGCGAAGCCCCGCCCGCCCAGAACCUGGUAUUCGAGCCUGCUCCUUCACCCCGCAGUUCAGUGCUGUCCCGGGUUAACCCGAAGUUAACUGGAGGCCCCAGGAUGCCUAUCCCGGAACACACAUCGGACCUGCGGCCAACCGGGACCCCGAAGAGGGCGGGGAAGCCAGGGCUGGAGCUGGGCUGGAACCGCCAGAAAGGCUUCCUUGCCUGGGGAUGGCGCCUGGCUAAAGAUACUUGCCCAGGAGCUGCAGCUGGCAAAGAUGGGGUAGCGGGGAUCAGUGAAGAGACACAAGAAGGGCCAGGAAGAAACUUCCCAGAAGUUUGGACCAGAUUUUCCCUGACCUAGGGCGUGGCUUCUCCCGGAACUCAUCCCCUGCAGUCACUAAGAUGCUUUGAGUUUUCUGUCUCUAACUGGGUGUAGAAUACCCCGACCCCACCUCCCUCGUGAUGGUGAAAGGACAACUUGCACAAGUCUGGUCUCCUUCACUAAGCUGAUCCCGGGGAUAGAACUCAGAUUGUCAAGUUUGGCAGCAAGUGCCUUCUGCGCUGCCUUUCAUGGACUUUACAGUCGGAGCGCACACAUAGCUUCUUAGCUUCUCUAAGACUACGGAAUGGGCACAAGGAAAAGAAGGGCUCGAACCACCGCUGAGAUAUAUCCUGCAUUUUCUUCCUCCCACUAUUGUGUCAGAUACCUGUUGCUCUAGGAACCGAAAACUUUGCUCUGUGUUUCCGCGGGACACUCUUGCGUUGUACACACCCGCAUCCCAACUUCGUUUCCCUUGGAUCAGCCAAUAGGAAUCAAAAUCUAUAGAUAGAGGGCGGGACCUCCUAUAGGCGAUCCAAUGGUAGUUGAGAGUCGUACCGCUAAGUCACACCGCAAAGGGGCAGGACUUUCUUCCCGAACUUGAAGCCCUGCGGGAGUGUCGGCCAAGGUGCUUGCAAAAUUGGAAAUCCAUGUGGCGUGGGCUGAGCGCCCUGGUGACCCAGGCGGCGUGGGCGCCCCUCAGGCUGUGCGCACGCUGCAGCACCAGUGCAGAGUCCUUAGUCCCCAGCAGCACCAUCUUCGCACUCAGCUCCGGCCAGGGACGCUGCGCCAUCGCAGUGAUCCGCACCAGCGGUCCAGCUAGCGGGCUCGCGCUCCGCAGCCUCACGGCGCUCCAGGAGCCGCCUCCUGCCCGCAGAGCCUGCCUGCGCCUUCUCCGCCACCCGUGCUCCGGGGAGCCACUGGACCGCUCACUCGUCCUCUGGUUCCCAGGACCCCAGAGUUUCACGGGUGAGGAUUGCGUGGAGUUUCACGUACACGGAGGUCCUGCGGUGGUCAGCGGUGUCUUGCAGGCAUUGGGUAGUGUGCCAGGACUGCGGCCAGCCGAGGCCGGAGAGUUCACCAGGAGGGCAUUUGCCCAUGGCAAGCUGAGCCUGACUGAAGUGGAGGGACUGGCAGAUCUUAUCCGUGCAGAAACUGAGGCCCAGCGUCGACAGGCUCUGAGGCAGCUGGAUGGGGAACUGAGCCAGCUCUGCCAGGGCUGGGCAAAGACUCUCACCAAGGCUCUGGCCUAUGUGGAGGCCUACAUUGACUUCGGAGAGGAUGAUAAUUUGGAAGAGGGUGUGUUGGAGCAGGCGGACAGAGAAGUUCGAGCCCUGGAGGUGGCGCUGGGUUCCCACCUGCGAGAUGCUAGGCGUGGACAAAGGCUCCUCUCGGGGGCAAAUGUUGUGGUCACUGGACCUCCCAAUGCGGGCAAGAGCAGUCUGGUGAAUCUACUCAGUAUGUGGGGUUCAGGAAAGGAUGGGAUGGGCUUCUUCUGGGCAGGGGUGCAGCAUCCUAGGGUUGCUGGACGCCUCCUCCAGCUGCAGCUUCCUGGACACUGUGGUGGCCCCACUGGUAGCUCAAAGCUACGAGAGUGGCAGACAGCGCCUCCUGAAAGUGAGGGCUUUUACCUCCACUCCGUGGUUCUUAAUCACAUUGUCCCUGACAUUCAGGCCAAAAGCCAGUGUCCAUCGUGUCCCCAGAGCCUGGGACCACCCGUGACGUGCUGGAGACUCCCGUGGACUUGGCUGGGUUCCCUGUCUUGCUGAGCGACACUGCAGGGCUCCGGGAAGGCGUGGGCGCUGUUGAGCAGGAGGGUGUGCGCAGGGCCCGCCACAGCUGAGCUGCUCCUCUGAGCAGCACCAACAGUGCCUUCCCAGGAUCCUCCAUGGUUAUGCUUCAUGGUCCUUCCUCCCCAGGCUGGAGCAGGCUGACAUCAUUCUGGGGGUGCUGGACGCCUCCGACCUGGCCUCCUCAUCCAGCUGCAGCUUCCUGGACACUGUAGUGACCCCACUGCUAGCACAAAGCCAAGACAGCGGUGGGCAGCGCCUCCUGCUGCUGCUCAACAAAUCUGAUCUGCUGUCUGCUAAUGCCCCAGCCUGCGACAUAGCCCUGCCUCCUCACCUGCUCCUGUCCUGCCACACGGGAGCCGGGAUGGACAGCCUCCUGCAGGCCCUGAAGACCGAGCUGGCUGCGGUGUGUGGGGACC